AAAAUGGAGGAGAGCAAGGCAAA
rnacentral:piRNA from 1 species